rnacentral:lncRNA from 1 species
AUCGCUGAAUUUGUUUAAAGGACAAGUCCACUCGAAUUUUCAAAAAUCAUAGCAUGUUGUAAAUAAAUCAAAGGUUAAAACUGCCAAAUAUCACUGCUGUACUUCAAUCGGUUGAUUUUUAAGAGCGAUUUCUAUUUCGGUUAUUUCUAGCAAAACAUUUAAAUUUGCCACACCGAUGUCAGAUUGUUGAUCACGUGAUGUGACGUAUGGUCCUCACAACUACUAAGCGCAUAUCUUACAUUCUGACUAGUCAAGAUGCCGCUGUGCCAGGCGUACGGGUGUUCCAAUCGGCCAGGGUAUGGGAGUAAAAAAAGUUUCUUUAGCAUCCCAAACCCAUUGCAAGACAGGGAGAGAUGUUCUCAGUGGUUGAACAAUAUUGGGACGAACAAGUUUAAUAUACGGACAUAUCAAUUUAGCAAAAAUAGAGUCGUUUGCGAGGACCACUUCGAGGCUGAUUGUUUUCAGGAAUUCGGGCGAAGGUGAUGAAGUACGAGGCCCGAAUGAAACUACUACUAAAACCCGAUGCCAUUCCUACCAUCUUCUUCCACCGUCCUCAACCACCAUCCAAGAGGAAAUCAACAACACGACGUCGGGAAGAGUCUGAGCGUCAAAAGACGCACUUGACCAUCGAAGCUUGCGGGACUUUGACAGACAUCACACAUCAGUCUCCAUUGCAUUCCUGGAUCAACAUUUGCUGGACUGAGUGGACUCCAGGCCUUUGUUCAUUUUAAUGGUUAUUAAUUUGAAGACUCAUCAGCAGUUAUGCUUCACGUUGCAACAAACAAUCUUGAACGGGGAGUUUGGGAGAAGGACGAGAAGGAUUUUGUUCAGCUUAAUCCUUUCAAUAAAACAAAAAUCUCUGAUACUCCCAAAGUUCCAAGGUGGGAUUCCAGAGCUUCACACGAACAAAGCAUUUAUUAUAUUAAUAGAAACAUGACUGAACAACAAUCAUUUGUUGUUGUUUUUCUGACAGACGCACUCAACCAUCGAAGCUUGCGGGACAUUGACAGACAUCAAUCUUCCUUGUAUGAAGUAGCAUUUACCGAGGAAGAAGAAAGAAGAACUGUCACCUUUAUACAAUUUAACAAUAUUGAACUCUAAUAAUACUUUUAUUCUCAGCGACACAUUUUAUGCGUGUGAUGGUCUCAAUAUAAAUGUCAAAGUCAGUUCAUAAAUAAAAUAUAAAUAUUAUAAAAUGCAAA